rnacentral:tRNA from 1 species
AUUUGUUGUAGUCUAGUUGGUUAGGAUAUUUGGUUCACAUCCAAAAAGACCUGGGUUCAAGUUCCAGUGAUGGAAA